rnacentral:rRNA from 1 species
GCUCGAAAGAGAGCCGUAACACAGGUGCUGCAUGGCUGUCGUCAGCUCGUGUCGUGAGAUGUUGGGUUAAGUCCCGCAACGAGCGCAACCCUUGCCAUUAGUUGCUACAUUUAGUUGAGCACUCUAAUGGGACUGCCGGUGACAAACCGGAGGAAGUGGGGAUGACGUCAAGUCCUCAUGGCCCUUAUAGGUGGGGCUACACACGUCAUACAAUGGCUGGUACAAAGGGUUGCCAACCCGCGAGGGGGGAGCUAAUCCCAUAAAGCCAGUCGUAGUCCGGAUCGCAGUCUGCAACUCGACUGCGUGAAGUCGGAAUCGCUAGUAAUCGUGGAUCAGAAUGUCACGGUGAAUACGUUCCCGGGUCUU